rnacentral:lncRNA from 1 species
UUUAGUUCGGCCCUAGGAUUUGGUAGCCCCGAAGUGUGGGCUCUCUCCAGUACCAGACUCAUUUCAGUACCAGCCUUUGGGAAGUCGUGUGAAUACCUCGGUCUCUUAGCCACAGGGAUAGAAUGGCGGCCUGACGGAGCCGCGGCGCCGGCGAAGUCGCUGAGGCGCGAGCUGGAACCCCCAGACCAGCUCAAACGGGAGCCAAAACUCGAAGCUUGGAAGAAUUAGCAGGAAAUGGCGGAUGAGGCGUUGUUUUUGCUUCUCCAUAACGAGAUGGUGUCUGGAGUGUACAAGUCCGCGGAGCAGGGGGAGGAAAACGGACGAUGUAUUACUAAGCUGGAAAACAUGGGGUUUCGAGUGGGACAAGGAUUGAUAGAAAGGUUUACAAAAGAUACUGCAAGGUUCAAGGAUGAGUUAGAUAUCAUGAAGUUCAUUUGUAAAGAUUUUUGGACUACGGUAUUCAAGAAACAAAUCGACAAUCUAAGGACAAAUCAUCAGUAUUUAGCAUUUACGUGUGGCUUAAUCAGAGGUGGCUUAUCAA